rnacentral:lncRNA from 1 species
AAAAGUUCAAGUGUGGGGGAAUUUGAUCAGUGCAUUUUAAUGCAUAUUCUUCUACUAUUGUACUAGUGUAUUCCUAUGGUUUAAUUUACUAUUUUCACUAUUUUAAGGUGUUUUUAUAUUUAAUUUUAUUUCUAACUCUAUUUUAUUUUCGCACUUAAUUUAUGAAUAAAUAGCACUUUGACACCCUUCCGGUCCGCAGGUCAUAAAUGGAGUUACAAAUAUCGGAUUGAGGCGCGGGAAGAUGCGUUGGAAAGCUGAGAUCAAGAGCUGCGACUUUCAUGUUGAGGCCAAAACCCAGUUCGGAGCGCAAGUGUGUCAAAUAAUUGCGUUUAUGUUCCAGACGAAUUUAAUUCAGCACAACUUUAUAUUUUCCGGCCCAAUUGUUUUAAGGCCCGUUCCAUGUAUUAUUUAAACCGAAAAAAAGGCAGCUAGGGUUAUUCAUUCACUGUUCACGGAAUAUUCAAACCCUAGAGCAGCCGUCAUCUUCCAUGGAGAACUAAACUUCUAUUGAUCCAUUGGUGUAAGGAACUUUGUUCUCGAAUCUUGAGGUUCGGUUUUAAUAGCAAAUCGUUAUGUUUAUGCUUAUCAUAUAUCAAUUUUCUUGUCUCUCUUUUGUGUAUGAGUUGAUGCAAUUGAUGCUUAAUUAUUUUGUUUCACGUUCAUAACAUUGAGAUUAUUCAAAUUAAUUCACGCUUGUUCAAAUUAAUCUGAAUAGGAAAUUGUUAUAUUAUUUUCGCUUGCAAAAUAGGGCUGCCGAAUUAUUGUUAUGAUUUUUAACUGUGUU